CAGCCGCCACGGUAAUACGAAGGGUGCAAGCGUUAAUCGGAAUUACUGGGCGUAAAGCGUGCGUAGGCGGUUUGUUAAGUCUGUUGUGAAAUCCCCGGGCUCAACCUGGGAAUGGCAAUGGAUACUGGCAAGCUAGAGUGUGUCAGAGGAUGGUGGAAUUCCCGGUGUAGCGGUGAAAUGCGUAGAGAUCGGGAGGAACAUCAGUGGCGAAGGCGGCCAUCUGGGACAACACUGACGCUGAGGCACGAAAGCGUGGGGAGCAAACAGGAUUAGAGACCCGAGUAGUCCCUGUCUCUUAUAC
rnacentral:rRNA from 1 species